UGCACAGCAAGAGAAAAAGAACCUGGAAGAGAGGUCUCCAAGCUAGAGACCAGAGUCUGUUUUAGCCCCGUCGGCAAUCUUUGGCGUACUUUAUUCACUUCUCCAACAAUCUCAUCAUGCUCAGCUCUUUGGGCCUAUUCAGAAAAACCCAGGUUCCUUAGCCUUCCCUACUCCAGCCUGUGUGUGGCUAUGGUUAAGAUAUUAAUCUUAACCAUAGACCUGGGAAGUCACUUCUCUGGUCUAACUGAAGUCCUGCCUGGAGCACUGGAAGUGGAGAGAACCACCAUAUACCCAGAAGAACUGCAGAUGGGAAGGAGGCCAGAGGAAGGACCCUAUGAGGAAGGUUCUGAGGGAGGGCAGUUCUACCUCAGGUUCUCCUCCAUCCUCCUCUCUCCUGCCCCACUGGGUCUGUGGAGAUGAAGACCAUGGGACAGAGUGGUUCACACCCUGGAGAACUCUCUCUGCUUGGGCUUUAGGAUUCACAGGUGGUGGGGGGAGGGGAAGCUGAGUUCCAUCAAGGCCCUUGUUAUUGUCUUCUGUAGAGUGGGUAUAUUGGGGAGGGAAGAUGGGAUGCAGUGUUUGUCUCAGUCAGCCUGAGUCCUUCUGGUCUCACCCAGAGUCCCUUUGAAGCCAUUUUCUCUCCAGGCACCAAAAUCCAGUCCCUUAUAAGCUCCCAUGAUGAUACGUCCUCCUCUACUCCUCGGUCUCCACAAGUACAGCACCCUUUAUUGGGGGCUGAGAAUCACCAAAUUCUCCUGACUACCCCCCUCUGUUUCUGCUGCCACUGCUUAGACAUCUUGGCCAGGAGCCCUGGCUCUAUGGACUCAAGGUAGGGGGCUGUGUCCAGGCACCCUCCCUCUGAGGUACCAUUUCUCCCUUGCCUCAUUUGCUGCCACCCACCUUACUGAUUAAGUUAAGAGGUAUGCUCUGUACAGGACUCCAGCCUAGUGGAACUUGACUCUGGGAGCACAAGGACAAGGACUGGCUCCUCCUGCUCCCUCCCAAUUGACUGUCUUACAGUUUUUUCCCCUGCUGCCUAGCAUCCAUUUGAAAACAUCAGAUGGUUUUGACUUGAGAAUUCAUAGCAUAAUGGGUACCUUGAGAGGCCCCUAACAUGACCGGCAUUUGUUUCAGUCCUUUGCAGGAAGAGGCUAUAUCUGGUGCCUCUUCCAUUCUGGGGAAAGUGUGUGGGGGCUGCAACCAGAGGGUCUAGUGGGAAACUGCACAGUGAAUAAGGAGGCACAUGGGGUGAGGAAAAAAAAAAGGAGAUUUCUGUCUUUUCAGGUUUCCCCUAUGGGAUGAAAGUUGGAAGGAGGUUUUUGGAAGGUUGGCAUAUUUUUCUCAUCUUGUUAUAUAAGGAAGGAGUCCUGGAUUGGGGAAUGGCAGGGAAUUCAUGUGUGUGGGGGCUACAUGGAAGGGGGUAGGUAGGGGGGUGGCAUGCCUUUUUUCAUGCAUUUAUCCCAUCAGUUCACAAGUUUGCACAUUUGCUCCCCUCCCCCAAACUGUCUCUAUUCCAAUUAAUCAAUGCAUUCAAUCCAGUUACUAUCCUAUUUUAUAGCUCUUUAGCUACCAGGAGAGGGGAGGAAGUAAGGCUGGUCAGAACACUGGGGUCAUCAUACUGAAACCAGAAGUUCCCAGCUGAAGGUAAAGGCAACAGAACGGAGCCCUCUCCUGGUCUGAAGUUAGGUUUUUCCUUGUCCCUUCUAUCCUUACUUCUCUCUCCUUUCAGUGCUCACCUCCCUAGGAGACCCAGCUUUUGAGGUUAAAAAAAGGCCAGUGGCAGCAAGAAGGAUCUGGAGGAGGAGUCAGUAGGUCAGAAGAGGGAUGAAAGGGGCAAGGAGCAGUGAAGGGCCUGAGAGAGAGGAUCCCUGGGAAGAGAGAGGUGUGGACUCUGGAUGGCCCUUCCUCUCCAUGUGUACAGGGCUAUGGUGGGAGGGACUAAGAUUCAAUAUGGGAAAGUGCUUUGCUGUCAGGCAGUUUUGAGGAAGCUUUGUUAAUACAGGAAAGAGCAAAUUAUGAAGAGAAGUUCCUCUUGCAGCUCAUGAAAUAGGAAGAGAGAGGCAGGGGCCGUGGGACUCUGAGGGGCAGAGGGGUGUGUGUGCUGAAAGUGAGGGUGUGAACAGCAUAGUGUUUGUGGUGUACGUGUCUGUGCUCCGUGGUUAACAGUCCUGUGUGCAUUGUCAUGUGUGUAAACAUAUCACAUGAGGAAGGGUACAGCUUUGACAUGCUCACAAGUGAGGUGAGCAGGCUUCCCACUGGGGCCUAUAAAGUAUGCUUCUCUGUUAGGAGCAGCAGUCAGCACAAAAUGGGAAGACCUCUGUAUUGGCAAGCAAGAAAACGUGGGUUCCAGUUCUGGCUUUAGUUAUCAGUUGGGAUCCUGUGAAGCAUCACUUCGAAUGUUCCAGACAAGUAGAUACCUGACCAAGGGGGACCUCAAGUGACUUCCCAGAAUUUCCAGCAACUCCUAAUGGACAGACUGGGGAUGGAGAGGGCCAAGCCUCAGGGUCUGACAGUACAAGGAACCUGUUCCACACAACCAUCUUCUUCACAAGAGCACUUACAACUGCUGCUGCAGGUGCCUGGUCACCUGGCAUCCUCUGUGGGGAUCGCCUUCACAGCCUGCAGCACAGCUCUGACCAUCCUCACCAGAGGCACAUGCUUGUCCUUCAGGGUGGAUCUGAUUUUUAAAAACAGCCAAGUUUUCUCUGAGGCUGGAGAAUAAGUUGAGGACCUCGCCGGGAAGCAGUAUUUCCAGUUAAAUACAAGGUGAAUGUGGGCAGACAUAGUGGAGGAUGUGCCCUCCUCCAAAAUGGUUCUGAAAGGUCAUUGUGAAGGAGAUACUUUUGCAGCAUGUGACAGAAGGAGACAUUUCUGGUGGCCACUAGAGCCCAGAUUACUGUUCCUGUCUAUUUGUGAAAAACAGGUAUUUGUACUCGUGGGAGUUUUCCCAGCCUGGUACUGGAGGCAUGAAACCUGCAUUUGCCUGAAAUACUGGGACAAGUGGUCUUGCCCUUGGGGAGCUUACAGUCUCCUCCCUGCCAACUAAUAUGCAAAGUUACCCAAUGAUACUCACUCAACACGAAUCAAGUGCAAAGGACAAGGGGAAAUUCAGAAUCAAGUCAAGUUAGUUCAUCAGGGAAGGCUGCCUGGAGGAAAGGAGUUAUGAGUGGGCUGUAGGACAAACCCAACAGGACAUGGGGUGGAGGAGGAAAAGAAGAGAACUUCUCUCUUGAUUCUGAAACAGGAUGAGCAAACGAUAAGGCAGGUAGGAGACAGCUUUGUUGGCCUGGAAUAAAUACUUGGAUUGGAAAUCAGCAUGAUGUAUCAUCAGAGGCUGUGAGGAUGACUGAGCCUGGACUGCACAGGUUAGUGAGCCAUGGCUGGAGGUACUGCCAGGGCCAAGACAAGUGGGGAAGAGACCCCUGGGGAUCAGGAGAUAGAGAGGGACACAGGAUUGUGUGGAGGGGUAUUGGGAAGACUGAAGCCUUUCAGAUCUUCAUCCUGACUAUCCCCUCAUCCACCCCUUCCAUGGACUGAAUUCUGUAUUUUAAAGCUAAAGGAACUUCAGUAAAUGAUCUGGUUUAGCCUUUCAUAUUCAGAGUGUAAGGUAUGACUUCCCCACUUCCCAGAUGAGACCUCAACUUGGCCAAGCUCUCCUGGGCAGAACAUGCUGAGAAGGGCCCCAGGAGGCAGGUCUUUUGCCCUCUGGGGGUCACUUCUCCCUCACACAACAGGCCCCAAGCCUGGGUGCUUCCCAAGGCAGAACCUGCAGGAGGGGACACCACAGUGCAGUCCUUUGAUUCUUUGCUCCUCCCCUUACCAGCUCUGUGACUUGAAGCAAGUUACUUAACCUCUCUGUGCCAUGGUUUUAUUAUCUGUAAAAGAGACCUACUCUGUGUCCUAUUAUUGAGAAUAAAAUGAAAUUUAUACCACAGAA